rnacentral:lncRNA from 1 species
AUGAGCGUAGCGAAGAUCAGGCGGCGUUACUUGACUGUAUUUUGGCUUUGGCAAGAGCCCCUCAGCCUGCUGGCUCCUGGCGGGGCGAUGGCUGGUCUGUGGCUGUUGGGGGGACAUGGUUGUGCCCUUACCCUCUCCCACCAGCGCUGGGUGGGUUUGGAGGUGAUGGCCAUGCCCCGACCCUCUCCCCACCAGCGUUGGGUGGGUUUGGGGGUGGUGGCCAUGCCCCAUCCUUCUCCCCACCAGCGCUGGGUGGGUUUGAGGGUGAUGGCCGUGCCCUGGCCCUCUCCCCACCAGUGCUGGGUGGGUUGGGGGCCCAUGGCUGUGCCCCUGGCCCUCUCUCCCACCCACCCUGGGUGGGUUUGGGGGUCCAAGGCUGGCACCUCGCCUCAGGUCGGUUUGCUGGGGGGUUUACCCCCCUCCCCACACCGCACGUCUCUGGGUUCAUCCCCGCUGGGCCUCCCCGCCGCGUUCUGGGUUCAUCGUGCUCUUUCCUUUGGCAACACACACUUUGUAGAAUGGGUUAGAUUAUCUCGUCGUUUCUUUAAAUGUGAGUUUGUGCCUUUUUUGUCUCCUAAUCUUCCAAUACCGGCAUAUUGGAAACGAAAUCUAAUAAAAUACUAGACAGAGCUUCACGCCUCCGUCUCCUUUGUUGUGGAUGAUGGGGAUGGGAAAGGGGCGCAAUGCCCGCCCCCGCCGCGGUCCUCCCGCCCGCCAGGCG